rnacentral:piRNA from 1 species
UAGAGAAGAGAUGUCAAGGUCUACCACA